UCUAUAUGAUGAGUUAGAGGACGAUAAAGGAUACUGUAGAAGACAGUUUUGUUCAAAGCCAGCGCUUAGUUGCGCGGUCGCGACGAGACUUGCCAUUUGCAGACUAUGUCUUUUUUCGUUGUUAACUCUUCUUCAACUUCUACAACACUGUGAAGUUUUCUACAACACUUUCUUCUUUGGGGAGUUACGUUUCACACGUUCUUCCCAGAGGUGACAAACACAAACAAUUUUUUAUUAUUAUAACCUAGUCAAAACCAAUUUCGUUUGAAAUUAAAAAUAUUUAAAACUUUCAACAACGGAUCUCUUGGUUCUCGCAUCGAUGAAGAACGCAGCGAAAUGCGAUACGUAAUGUGAAUUGCAGAAUUCCGUGAAUCAUCGAAUCUUUGAACGCACAUUGCGCCCCUUGGUAUUCCAGGGGGCAUGCCUGUUUGAGCGUCAUUUCCUUCUCAAACAAUUAUGUUUGGUAGUGAGUGAUACUCUUAUACAGGGUUAACUUGAAAUUGCUAGCCUGUUAUUUGGUUGUGAUUUUGCUAGCUUGGAUGAUUUUGUCCAGUCUAGCUAAUACCGAAUUGUCGUAUUAGGUUUUACCAACUUCGGCAGAAAGUGUGUUAGUUUAGGCGUUUUAAAGACUUAGUCGUAAACGAUUUAUCGUUUGUUUAGGCUAUUGCAUGCGCAAUCCGGCGAACAAUACUCUCAAAGUUUGACCUCAAAUCAGGUAGGAAUACCCGCUGAACUUAAGCUUU
rnacentral:rRNA from 1 species